UUUUCUCAUGGAACACUAGAAACCUUUUUUUCUUUCGCUUCGUUCCCUCUUCCUCUUCUCCUUUCUUCAUUCCUUCCUUUUUCUCCCUCCCUUUCUUUUUCUCUCUCCCUCCCCCCUCCCUUUCACCUUCCUCUCCGUCUCCCUGUCCUUCUCUUUCUAAGAUUUGAGUGUUAGGAGAAUAAUGUUUCAAAGUUGGUUGCUUUCAUCUGUUUUAACUACCAAUUUUAUUUUUCUUUGAACAGGUGGUGCUAGAAAAGCCAAAUGGCUUUAGUCAGAGUCCCACAGCCCUGUACAGCAGCCCACCUGAGGUGGACACCUGUAUAAAUGAGGAUGUUGAGAGCUUGAGGAAGACGGUGCAGGACUUGCUGGCCAGGCUUCAGGAGGCUGAGCAGCAACACCAGUCAGACCGUGUGGCUUUUGAGGUCACACUCAGCCGGUACCAGAAAGAAGCAGAACAAAGUAAUGUGGCCCUUCAGAGAGAGGAGGACAGAGUGGAGGAGAAAGAGGCAGAAGUCAGAGAGCUGCAGAGGCGCUUGCUAGGGAUGGAGACGGAGCAUCAGGCCUUACU
rnacentral:sRNA from 1 species